rnacentral:rRNA from 1 species
GACGAACGCUGGCGGCGUGCUUAACACAUGCAAGUCGAACGGAAAGGCCCUGCUUUUGUGGGGUGCUCGAGUGGCGAACGGGUGAGUAACACGUGAGUAACCUGCCCUUGACUUUGGGAUAACUUCAGGAAACUGGGGCUAAUACCGGAUAGGAGCUCCUGCUGCAUGGUGGGGGUUGGAAAGUUUCGGCGGUUGGGGAUGGACUCGCGGCUUAUCAGCUUGUUGGUGGGGUAGUGGCUUACCAAGGCUUUGACGGGUAGCCGGCCUGAGAGGGUGACCGGCCACAUUGGGACUGAGAUACGGCCCAGACUCCUACGGGAGGCAGCAGUGGGGAAUAUUGCACAAUGGGCGGAAGCCUGAUGCAGCAACGCCGCGUGCGGGAUGACGGCCUUCGGGUUGUAAACCGCUUUCGCCUGUGACGAAGCUUGAGUGACGGUAAUGGGUAAAGAAGCACCGGCUAACUACGUGCCAGCAGCCGCGGUGAUACGUAGGGUGCGAGCGUUGUCCGGAUUUAUUGGGCGUAAAGGGCUCGUAGGUGGUUGAUCGCGUCGGAAGUGUAAUCUUGGGGCUUAACCCUGAGCGUGCUUUCGAUACGGGUUGACUUGAGGAAGGUAGGGGAGAAUGGAAUUCCUGGUGGAGCGGUGGAAUGCGCAGAUAUCAGGAGGAACACCAGUGGCGAAGGCGGUUCUCUGGGCCUUUCCUGACGCUGAGGAGCGAAAGCGUGGGGAGCGAACAGGCUUAGAUACCCUGGUAGUCCACGCUGUAAACGGUGGGUACUAGGUGUGGGGUCCAUUCCACGGGUUCCGUGCCGUAGCUAACGCUUUAAGUACCCCGCCUGGGGAGUACGGCCGCAAGGCUAAAACUCAAAGGAAUUGACGGGGCCCCGCACAAGCGGCGGAGCAUGCGGAUUAAUUCGAUGCAACGCGUAGAACCUUACCUGGGUUUGACAUGGAUCGGGAGUGCUCAGAGAUGGGUGUGCCUCUUUUGGGGUCGGUUCACAGGUGGUGCAUGGCUGUCGUCAGCUCGUGUCGUGAGAUGUUGGGUUAAGUCCCGCAACGAGCGCAACCCUUGUUCACUGUUGCCAGCACGUUAUGGUGGGGACUCAGUGGAGACCGCCGGGGUCAACUCGGAGGAAGGUGGGGAUGACGUCAAGUCAUCAUGCCCCUUAUGUCCAGGGCUUCACGCAUGCUACAAUGGCUGGUACAGAGAGUGGCGAGCCUGUGAGGGUGAGCGAAUCUCGGAAAGCCGGUCUCAGUUCGGAUUGGGGUCUGCAACUCGACCUCAUGAAGUCGGAGUCGCUAGUAAUCGCAGAUCAGCAACGCUGCGGUGAAUACGUUCCCGGG